UACCACAAUCUAUGAAUAAAAAUAUCCUUAAUCAUCAUAAUUUUUUAUUUACAAGCAGUGGUAAUGUAUAGAAUAAAAUAAGAUUUUCCUGUAUUAAGAGAAUAAUAGGUAUUUUAGAUAUUUUUUUCAAAAAAGAUGAAUACUCAAUCAAAUAUAACCCACUUUAGAUAAGUCACUUUUUUAUAAUCAACCAAACAUACCAAAAUUAUUUUUUCAGACAUCAUGUUAUUAUG
rnacentral:lncRNA from 1 species